rnacentral:lncRNA from 1 species
CAGAAGAUUGGAGAGUUGUACCAAAACUACAAGGUCAAGCUCCAUAAAGGGUGGAUAGAGCACCAUAGGGACAUUGAGGAGGAGCUUGUUCCUUGCAUGCAGGACUGUCCCUCGAGUUAGUGAGAGGGGAUGGUUAGACAUUGGAGGAGCCAGGAGUUUCAAGUUUAAUAUGUAACUUAUGAAUUUUUUAUUACACUGACAAUUAUAUUUGAUUUUAACUUAUGUAAUUUAAAUACUUUUUAGACUGCCUCCCAUCAGAACCAGGAGAAUCGGGCU